rnacentral:lncRNA from 1 species
AGUGCGACCAAUACAAACUAAGGUCAUAAUCAUCUACAAAAUUCAAGUAUAAUUUUGAAGCACAGACAUUUAAUUAAUGAUAAAUUUGGGUCAUCUUAAUUAUGCACGAAUUCAAUUCAACAACCAAAGACUGUAUUACAAGUACAAAACCCAGUCCUUCAAACACUAAUGCUACCAGACUUUUAAAAAAAAAUAUAUAUUGAUGUUAGAUAAAUCUUUGAAUUAGCAUUCAACGCAACAGUCUUUUAUUUUUACAUGGAAAAACCAUCGGUUAGGUCCAUUCAAAGAUUCAAUACAGCAAAAGGAAACCUAACUUAACAUUUAGAGCAAGAGUAGCAACAUAGAAAUUGUAUUCAAGAUUAUAUUGCAGCUAUUACUACUGGCAUAUGCGAGCAAUGUUUUCUUUCCCACUCAUCCCUUCCCCUAACACACGCAUCUGACAGUGUGCAAGAACAAAUACAAUAAAAUUAAUGCAAACAAAACAGGGCAGAGGUGUUUUUCCAUAGAAAAUCAUUAUAGCUGUCAAAAUGAGUUACAAACCAUGAGCCAACACACCGCACAGGCAGAUUGAGUUGAAAAAAAUAAAUCGACUCGGGGCACUCCAAGUUAUGGCUUUCCUUUCUUGCAGCUACCAAUCAUCGAAGUGGCUUUCCAAUUAAGUAAAAGAAUACAGCAGCAAUAGCCGUCAUAAAGCGCAAUUACAACCUAAAACUUCGACGAUCUGCAAUCAAAACCCUUAAUCAAGGUAGGCACCAUUUUACUCGCUAAUAGAUAUAAUCUGACCAGAGAGA